AUAAAAAAUACUUUCGCCUUCUCAUUUUUCUCUCAUUUUUUUCCUGCAUGGUAGCCCCAUUUUGACUCCAGAGUCUGUCUUUCUUAAUAUUUCAUAACCCUUCUGUGCUCCUUAUUAUCCUUCUGUUUUCUUGGCUAACAGGUAAGGAAGGAUUUGAGGUAAUGACUUUCCACAUAUUGCAGGGCUAUGUCACUCUUACCCUGAAGUAAACGUUGUUUGUGUGAACUGGCAUUUGUUUUUCAUUUGCUGCUUUCUAAUUCUUAUUCUGUCACCUCAGAAACUUGCUCUCUUAACUUGUCCCUAAGCUAAUUACAUUUUAUUCUGAAAUAAGUAUUAAUACCUAACAUUUAAUAUUAAUACUGUCCUAUGUGCAACUUACAAAUAUGUCAUAUAAGUAUAUAAAUUGACUUUACCUAUUAUAUGCAGAAAUUGAAGGGGGGAAUUUCUGUGUUUCUAGCUUUCUUGUUAAUGUGAAGGGCGGGGCAUUUUAUGUUUUUUCAGGAUUGCCUUAUUCAAUGAAGCAAGCUGGGUUUCCUUUGGGAAUAUUGCUUUUAUUCUGGGUUUCAUAUGUUACAGACUUUUCCCUUGUUUUAUUGAUAAAAGGAGGGGCCCUCUCUGGAACAGACACCUACCAGUCUUUGGUCAAUAAAACCUUCGGCUUUCCAGGGUAUCUGCUCCUCUCUGUUCUUCAGUUUUUGUAUCCUUUUAUAGCGAUGAUAAGUUACAAUAUAAUAGCUGGAGAUACUUUGAGCAAAGUUUUUCAAAGAAUCCCGGGAGGUAAGUC
rnacentral:sRNA from 1 species